UACGGGAGGCAGCAGUGGGGAAUAUUGCACAAUGGGCCGCAAGCCUGAUGCAGCCAUGCCGCGUGUAUGAAGAAGGCCUUCGGGUUGUAAAGUACUUUCAGCAGUGAGGAAGGUGGAUAUGUUAAUAGCAUAUUCAUUUGACGUUAGCUGCAGAAGAAGCACCGGCUAACUCCGUGCCAGCAGCCGCGGUAAUACGGAGGGUGCGAGCGUUAAUCGGAAUUACUGGGCGUAAAGCGCAUGCAGGUGGUUUGUUAAGUCAGAUGUGAAAGCCCGGGGCUCAACCUCGGAAUUGCAUUUGAAACUGGCAAACUAGAGUACUGUAGAGGGGGUAGAAUUUCAGGUGUAGCGGUGAAAUGCGUAGAGAUCUGAAGGAAUACCGGUGGCGAAGGCGGCCCCCUGGACAGAUACUGACACUCAGAUGCGAAAGCGUGGGGAGCAAACAGGAUUAGAUACCCUGGUAG
rnacentral:rRNA from 1 species